AUACGGAGGGUGCAAACGUUGUUCGGAAUUACUGGGCGUAAAGCGCGCGUAGGCGGUUUGUUAAGUCAGAUGUGAAAGCCCAAGGCUCAACCUUGGACGUGCGUUUGAAACUGGCAGACUUGAGUACUGGAGGGGAUGGUGGAAUUCCCGGUGUAGAGGUGAAAUUCGUAGAUAUCGGGAGGAAUACCGGUGGCGAAGGCGACCAUCUGGCCAGAUACUGACGCUGAGGUGCGAAAGCAUGGGGAGCAAACAGGAUUAGAAACCCUAGUAGUCC
rnacentral:rRNA from 1 species